UAGGGAAUCUUCCACAAUGGGCGAAAGCCUGAUGGAGCAACGCCGCGUGUGUGAUGAAGGGUUUCGGCUCGUAAAACACUGUUGUAAGAGAAGAAUGACAUUGAGAGUAACUNUUCAAUGUGUGACGGUAUCUUACCAGAAAGGAACGGCUAAAUACGUGCCAG
rnacentral:rRNA from 1 species